UUUAUCGGAGAGUUUGAUCCUGGCUCAGGACGAACGCUGGCGGCGUGCCUAAUACAUGCAAGUCGAGCGGACAGAUGGGAGCUUGCUCUCUGAUGUUAGCGGCGGACGGGUGAGUAACACGUGGGUAACCUGCCUGUAA
rnacentral:rRNA from 1 species